UCUGAUCAUCUCAUGCCCCAUUUUGAUCCAAAAUUUGAGCCGCCUUUUUCGGGUUUUCAACUCAAAUCCCCUUCGGUCUCAAGGUGCCCUUUGCAGGUUUUCGCCUUGGCCUCUCUUUUUCCUCUUAUUCUUUCUUUUUCUUUUUUCUUUUUUUUUCUUUUCCUUUUUUCCAUAAUUAUUUUUUCAUCAUUUUUUUUUGAAUCUGAACUCAUAGGAUUAGGCAAGUCCUUGUUCUCUCUUUUGAUCAGAAUCAAUAUUUUUCUAGGUAAAAUCUUCCACCUUCAUCUUGUAUACGUAAGAUCUUCUUUGUGAUCAAAUUUCUUU
rnacentral:lncRNA from 1 species